rnacentral:tRNA from 1 species
GCAAUAGUAGUAUAAAAUAGUAUUUCUGUCUUCCAAACAGAAGGUUUCUGUUAGAACUGUUGUA